rnacentral:rRNA from 1 species
AUGAACGCUAGCUACAGGCUUAACACAUGCAAGUCGAGGGGCAGCAUGAACUUAGCUUGCUAAGUUUGAUGGCGACCGGCGCACGGGUGAGUAACACGUAUCCAACCUGCCGAUGACUCGGGGAUAGCCUUUCGAAAGAAAGAUUAAUACCCGAUGGCAUAGUUCUUCCGCAUGGUAGAACUAUUAAAGAAUUUCGGUCAUCGAUGGGGAUGCGUUCCAUUAGGUUGUUGGCGGGGUAACGGCCCACCAAGCCUUCGAUGGAUAGGGGUUCUGAGAGGAAGGUCCCCCACAUUGGAACUGAGACACGGUCCAAACUCCUACGGGAGGCAGCAGUGAGGAAUAUUGGUCAAUGGACGAGAGUCUGAACCAGCCAAGUAGCGUGAAGGAUGACUGCCCUAUGGGUUGUAAACUUCUUUUAUACGGGAAUAAAGUGAGGCACGCGUGCCUUUUUGUAUGUACCGUAUGAAUAAGGAUCGGCUAACUCCGUGCCAGCAGCCGCGGUAAUACGGAGGAUCCGAGCGUUAUCCGGAUUUAUUGGGUUUAAAGGGAGCGUAGGCGGACGCUUAAGUCAGUUGUGAAAGUUUGCGGCUCAACCGUAAAAUUGCAGUUGAUACUGGGUGUCUUGAGUACAGUAGAGGCAGGCGGAAUUCGUGGUGUAGCGGUGAAAUGCUUAGAUAUCACGAAGAACUCCGAUUGCGAAGGCAGCUUGCUGGACUGUAACUGACGCUGAUGCUCGAAAGUGUGGGUAUCAAACAGGAUUAGAUACCCUGGUAGUCCACACAGUAAACGAUGAAUACUCGCUGUUUGCGAUAUACAGUAAGCGGCCAAGCGAAAGCGUUAAGUAUUCCACCUGGGGAGUACGCCGGCAACGGUGAAACUCAAAGGAAUUGACGGGGACCCGCACAAGCGGUGGAGCAUGUGGUUUAAUUCGAAGCAACGCGAAGAACCUUACCAAGUCUUGACAUCCCGAUGACAGAGUGUGUAAUGUACUUUCUCUUCGGAGCAUCGGUGACAGGUGGUGCAUGGUUGUCGUCAGCUCGUGUCGUGAGAUGUUGGGUUAAGUCCCGCAACUAGCGCAACCCUUGUGAUAUGUUACUAACAUUGAGUUGAGGACUCAUAUCAGACUGCCGGAGAUAAACCGGAGGAAGGUGGGGAUGACGUCAAAUCAUCAUGCCCCUUAUGAUCUGGGCUACACACGUGCUACAAUGGCGUAAACAAAGGGAAGCGAGCCUGCGAGGGUAAGCAAAUCUCAAAAAUAACGUCUCAGUUCGGAUUGUAGUCUGCAACUCGACUACAUGAAGCUGGAAUCGCUAGUAAUCGCGAAUCAGCAUGUCGCGGUGAAUACGUUCCCGGGUCUUGUACACACCGCCCGUCACACCAUGGGAGUUGGUAACGCCCGAAGUCAGUGACCCAACCGUUUACGGAGGGAGCUGCCGAAGGCGGGACUGAUAACUGGGGUG